rnacentral:rRNA from 1 species
UACGGAGGGGGCAAGCGUUGUUCGGAAUUACUGGGCGUAAAGGGCGCGCAGGCGGCUGCUCAAGUCAGGCGUGAAAGGCCUGGGCUCAACCCGGGAAUUGCGCUUGAGACUGGGUUGGCUUGAGUGCGGGAGAGGAUGGUGGAAUUCCCAGUGUAGAGGUGAAAUUCGUAGAUAUUGGGAAGAACACCGGUGGCGAAGGCGGCCAUCUGGACCGCAACUGACGCUGAGGCGCGAAAGCGUGGGGAGCAAACAGG